AAAAAAAAACAAAAGAGGGAUCUGAAAAUUUUGAGAGAGAAUCGGCAGGAGAGAAGGGAGAAAGAAGAAGAAGAGAAAAGAGGGGAAAAUAAGGGAAAAAGGAAAGGAGUUGAAGAGAAUAAGUUUAAAGAUAAUCCUGAUAUUCUACCGGCGGGACGUCAGUAGGAUUUUCUUCGGUGUCUGCUUUUGGCUUCUGUUUGCUUUUGAGUCAGGCUUAUAGCUUGAUAGCAGGUCAUUUUGUUGGACCUUCAGAACCUGCUCUUUGGUUGUAAUUUGUACCUUCCUUUAUGUCUAGUUAGUGCUCCAAAACUCUGAACUUAUAUAAACUCUUGUAUUAAGACAAUUCAAUUAUAUUAUGAAGUUGAUUUUGUUGUUAA